AUACUUACCUGGCAGGGGAGAUACCAUGAUCACGAAGGUGGUUUUCCCAGGGCGAGGCUUAUCCAUUGCACUCCGGAUGUGCUGACCCCUGCGAUUUCCCCAAAUGUGGGAAACUCGACUGCAUGAUUUGUGGUAGUGGGGGACUGCGUUCGCGCUUUCCCCUG
rnacentral:snRNA from 1 species